CUAGAAAGACUUUAGGAAGUUCCUAUAGACUAUUACUAUUUGCACGAAAUCUUCCGUUUAUAAAUCCCACACUCCCCCUCACCCCACUCCGCUGCUUUUUUUCUGCUAACUUAAAAGGGGCCAUGGAUCGGCAAACAGGAAGGCAUGACUCGGCGGCGACUCAGUCGGAUGCAACGGUUGUGGUAUCGGUGCAUGACGGUGACACCAUUAACAAUUGUCAUGACCAAAAGGACACUGGGCGAUGGGGGAACCUGGUCCUUGCAUACAAGACCCUAGGAGUUGUUUUUGGGGGUCUUGUCACAUCUCCACUUUAUGUAUAUCCAUCAAUGCCUUUAAAGUCUCCAACUGAGGAUGAUUAUUUGGGGAUCUACAGCAUAAUGUUUUGGACGCUCAGUCUAAUUGGUGUUGUCAAAUACGCUACCAUAGCUCUCAGAGCUGAUGAUCAGGGCGAAGGUGGAACAUUUGCUCUUUAUUCGUUACUCUGCAGGAAUAUAAAUAUUGGGAUUCUUUCUUCAAAGAGUGCCAGUUUGAGUUCUAGCCAUUCCUAUGUUAACCAAUCAAAAAAGCCAAGUAAGCUGGGUAAAUUUUGUGAGAGGAGUUUGAUUGCCAGAAGGGUACUGCUUUUCAUUGCAAUGUUGGGUAUGUGUAUGCUAAUCGGUGAUGGCAUACUUACACCUGCCAUCUCAGUGUUGUCUGCAAUGGAUGGCUUAAGAGCACGUUUUCCCUCAGUCGGUAAAUCGUUGGUUGAAGCUCUUUCAGCAAUCGUUCUCAUUGUUCUAUUCCUCAUGCAGAAGUUUGGUACUUCACGAGUGAGUUUCCUGUUCUCUCCUAUCAUGGGUGCAUGGACUCUUACCACUCCUCUCGUUGGGAUAUACAGUAUCCUUAAGCAUUAUCCUAGCAUAUUCAAGGCAAUAUCACCCCAUUACAUAGUCCACUUCUUCUUAAGAAAUGGAAAGCAAGGAUGGAUAUAUCUUGGUGGUACUGUCCUCUGCAUUACUGGCUCUGAAGCAAUGUUUGCUGACCUUGGUCAUUUCAACAGGAGUUCAAUUCGGAUAGCGUUUCUCUUUACUAUAUAUCCAUCACUAGUGCUGACAUAUGCGGGCCAGACAGCAUAUCUGAUCAGAAAUCCCAAUGACCAUUUUGAUGGAUUUUACAAGUUUAUACCAUCUGCUGUGUACUGGCCAAUUUUUGUUAUAGCUACAUUAGCUGCAAUAGUUGCAAGUCAGUCACUGAUUUCAGCCACCUUUUCUGUUAUUAAGCAAUCAGUUGUGUUGGAUUAUUUUCCUCGGGUGAAGGUAGUUCACACAUCCUCCAGCAAAGAAGGUGAGGUUUACUCACCAGAAGUUAACUACAUCCUCAUGAUUCUCUGUGUUGCAGUCAUACUAAUUUUUGGAGAUGGACAAGACAUCGGAAAUGCCUUUGGUGUCGUUGUUAGCAUGGUUAUGCUUAUAACCACUAUAUUGCUGUCAUUGGUUAUGAUCAUUAUUUGGAGAACUCCACUUGCUUUGGUGGCGCUCUACUUCAUUGUGUUUUUUGUGAUGGAAAGUGUAUAUGUUAGUGCAAUCUUCACAAAAAUUCCAGAAGGUGGUUGGAUUCCUUUUGCCAUCUCUCUCAUCCUUGCUUUCAUUAUGUUUGGCUGGUUCUAUGGUAGGCAGAGAAAACUCGAGUAUGAAUUAACACACAAAAUAGACUCGGAGAGAUUAAGGACAAUGCUAAUGGAUCCAGGUCUUCAGAGAGUUCCCGGACUCUGCUUCUUCUAUACAAAUAUCCAAGAUGGUUUAACACCAAUUUUAGGUCAUUACAUAAAGAACAUGAGAUCUCUUCACAAAGUUACUGUAUUUACAACUCUUAGGUACUUGCUGGUUCCCAAAGUAGCAGCAGGUGAAAGGAUAGUUGUGAGCAAGUUAGGUCUCAAAGGGGUUUAUAGAUGUGUGAUUCGGUAUGGUUAUGCGGAUAAGCUUAGUCUUGAAGGGGAUGAUUUAGUUAAUCAAGUUGUUGAAAGUUUACGGGCUCAUCUGCUUCAGCGCUCCAACCAUAAUUCGACGGAGGAAGAAGACGAAAUUUCCGAGUUGGAAGAGGCAAAGCUUGCUGGGGUGGUCCAUAUUCGUGGAAAGACGAGGUUUUAUAUUGGUAAGCAUUGUGGCUGGUUUGAUAGAACAAUGCUUGUUUUCUAUGAAGUUUUGCACAGCAAUUGCAGAUCUGCACUUCCUGCUUUGGGUGUGCCAUUACCUCAACGUAUCGAGGUUGGUAUGCUUUAUGAGGCUUGACUACAAGGCACUGAAAAAGUUCCAAGAAGGUUGAUCACAAACCAUAGCAGGUAGUUGCAAUUCUUCAGAACAAGGCGUCUUAGAUUUGGGAAGCUAUCACUGCUAGCUUCCCAACGCUCAAGAUGUAUGCCUUUAAAUAACAACUUCAAGCUUUGGAACUUGUCUUCAUCGCUCAAUCUCCAUACUUGAUCACCAGUGACUACAGCAACUUUAAGUUUGAGCUCUUCCAGAUUUGGCAACAUGACAAGAAUUGAUAUAUCGUCCCAAUGAAACCAAAAGCAGUGAGUUAAAGUCAACCUCUUAAGCGAUGUUGGGAAAACGAAACUCUUGAUGGAGUAGCAAACAAGUCCAUUGGCACACUUUAAUUCUUCGAGUUUUGUCAAGCUAGACAUAUCAAUGAGGCGAUUGGCUGAAGUUUUUACGCGAAUAAUCAAUUCUUUAGAUUGGGAGUCGCAGAAAAGACUUCAUUUGUACAACAGGAAGAAAAAGAGUUCAGAAAGUUCCUCUAGAUUUGGCAUCCCUAUCAUAAGUUGCUUGUUUAUAAUGCUUUCUCUUCUAGGAUGGUAAAUAAAUGGGGCCUCCGAGAUGUAUAUGCCUCAAGUUCUUCAUCAUCCAUACAUUCCCCGGUAAAGUUGUUUUACAAUAUAUGCCCCUAUGAGUAAUUAGAGUUUGCAAAUUUUGAAGCUC